ensembl:miRNA aca-mir-9-1 aca-mir-9-1
GGAAGCGAGUUGUUGUCUUUGGUUAUCUAGCUGUAUGAGUGUGUUGGUCUUCAUAAAGCUAGAUAACCGAAAGUAAAAACUCCUUCA